UGAAUACGAGAUGCUACGGCAUUGAAGCAGUCUAUGUCAGACUUCCAAGAAAAGCUCGCAAUGUCAGAAACAAGAAAUGCCUGUACCAUAACCGACACAGGUGGGUAGGUAGAGUAUACUAAGGGGCGCGAGAUAACUCUCUCUAAGGAACUCGGCAAAAUGACUCCGUAACUUCGGGAGAAGGAGUGCCUUAUUUUAUAAGGUUGCAAUAACAAGAUCCAAGCAACUGUUUACCAAAAACACAGGUCUCCGCUAAGUCGAAAGACGAUGUAUGGGGGCUGACGCCUGCCCAGUGCCAGAAGGUUAAAGAAGUUGGUUAGCCUAGCGAAGCUGAUGACUGAAGCCCUGGUGAACGGCGGCCGUAACAAUAACGGUCCUAAGGUAGCGAAAUUCCUUGUCGGGUAAGUUCCGACCCGCACGAAAGGCGUAAUGAUUUGGAUACUGUCUCGGAGAGGGGCUCGGUGAAAUAGACUUGUCUGUGAAGAUGCGGACUACCUGCACCUGGACAGAAAGACCCUAUGAAGCUUUACUGUAACUUGAGAUUGAAAUUGGACUUUAUUUGCGCAGCAUAGGUGGGAGACGUUGAAAAUAUUCUUGCGGGAAUGUUGGAGUCAUCAGUGAGAUACCACUCUUGUAAUGUUAGAUUUCUAACUUUGUAUCAUUAUCUGGUCAAAGGACAGUUUCAGGCGGGCAGUUUGACUGGGGCGGUCGCCUCCUAAACGGUAACGGAGGCGCACAAAGGUUUCCUCUGAACGUGUAGAAAUCGUAUCUAGAGUGUAAAGGCAUAAGGAAGCUUGACUGUGAGACCUACAAGUCGAGCAGGGACGAAAGUCGGUCUUAGUGAUCUGACGGUGCUGAGUGGAAAGGCCGUCACUCAACGGAUAAAAGUUACUCUAGGAUAACAGGCUGAUCUCCCCCAAGAGUUCACAUCGACGGGGAGGUUUGGCACCUCGAUGUCGGCUCAUCGCAUCCUGGGGCGGUAGUACGUCCCAAGGGUUGGGCUGUUCGCCCAUGAAAGCGGUACGCGAGCUGGGUUCAGAACGUCGUGAGACAGUUCGGUCCAUAUCCGGUGUAGGCGUUAGAAUAUUGAGAGGAGCCUUCUUUAGUACGAGAGGACCGAGAAGGACAUACCUCUGGUGUACCAGUUAUCGUGCCAACGGUAAACGCUGGGUAGCUAUGUAUGGAGUGGAUAACCGCUGAAAGCAUCUAAGUGGGAAGCCCACCUCAAGAUAAG
rnacentral:rRNA from 1 species